UUUUUUUUUUUUUUUGGUACCGGGGAUCGAACUCGGGCCCUUGCGCUUGCGCAGCAGGCUGCGAAACCACUGAGCUAAAUCCCCAGCCCCAUUGUGUUCACUUCUUUCAGCAAAGCAGUUCGAAGUUGGUGGAGACUUCGGCGUCUUGCAGCCAGAGAGGGCAGAGGUGAGAAAUGGCGCGUCCUGCUCGUGUGCCCACGACGGCCUGGCUCGGGAACGCGGCGCCAUUUCAGCUGACAGCAGAGCGAGUGGAGCUCUAGGCAGACCUACAGGAGUCCAGUAAAUGAAUUUGAGGAUCGGGUCCCUACACUUGCCAGGCAGGCGGUGGCACCACUGAGCUAAAUCCCUGGCCCUCAGGUCAUCUUUUAAAAUUAGGAUCCCCAACUCCUCUUGGUUUCUAUUCAUGUGCCCUUUUUUCUUAGUUAUGGCAAUUUGUAAUGAUGUAUUUGAUUACUUGGGCAUUGUCUAUCUCCCCAACAUUGUAAAACAUAAAUACUAUAAUUCUUUUUUGUUUUUUGAAGACAGUGUUUCUGCUACAUAGUCCAGGCUGGCCUUAAGCUCACUAUAGCCCAGUCUGGCCUCGAACUCACAGCAGUACUCCUGCCUCAGCUUCCCUAGAGUUGAGAUCACAGGCAUACACCACUAUUACCAGCUAAAUAUUGUAAUUUUUCUUUUCCUAUUAUUUAUUUAUUUUUCCCAGUGCUACAGAUCUGCAUGCUAGGCAAACACAGCAGAGCUAUCUGAAGUCCCUCCCCACAAGCCUUCUGACAAAGCCAUGUCUGCCCAGCACUCAGUAGAAUCCUAAGACUCAUCCCUGUGUUAGGCCAGGAGUAGAGCCCGAGGCUUAUCCCUCCAUCAUGGAAUGCUACAAAGAAGUCAAAACAAGGGUGUCGUAAUUUGCCUCUCUUUCGUUCCUCACCACUUCAGGACUAAGAUCAAGACCAGGGUCUUGGGUGUGCUAGGCAAGUGCCCUACAAUGAACUACAUCCCCAGCCCUUAGAAAGGAUUUUUUCUAAAAAUAUUAAGCAAGAAUUAGAAAAAGUCAAGGAAAGAAGAAUGAGGUGCAGGGGCUGGGGAUGUAGCACUGUGCCAAGGUCCUGGGUUCGAUCCCUGGUACCGAGAGAAAGUAUAUAGUCUCUAGGGAGUCUGGUU
rnacentral:lncRNA from 1 species